AAAAAAAAAAAAAAAAAGAAAGAAAAAAAAAAAACUUUUAUCUCCAGCGCGCGAGACUGUGUAUCGGAAAUUCUAUAAGGUGUGCGAUUUUUAAAUAGUUUGUAAUAUUGCUGUUGAACUGCCACGACAUAAAACGUAACACAUACGACAUAAAAAUUUUCAAAUUUUCGAAUUUUCAAUUUUGGGCUAGAAAAAUAAAGUAGACUCAGACGAUUCCAAAAAUAUAUAAUUUAUGCAUGUUUCGAAAUUUUAAAAGGCCGAAAUCUCUCAUUUAAAAUGUAAACAAGCACUGGCACGCCCACAAGUUUAAAGGGACAGAUGUUUUAAAUUCCAUUAUCGCUUGCUCAUACAGAUGUUUUUAUUACUUCCUUGGUCAGAAUAUGAUUCUUUGAAAGGCAUUUGGCAACACGUUUUUAAAUUGGCUUAUUCACUAAGCUGUGUUGUGGAUAAUUGUCGAAUUUCCUGUAUUUACAACUUGGCUUUGUUUAUUUUGUGUUUCGCUAUUCUUUUCGUUCUUUUUCAUUUAAAUUCGUGCUUUCUGUGUUUAUUUUUGAUUGUUUUAUUGUGUUAUGUUAGUGAAUAAAAGUUUUAAAUAAGGAAAUGCCGAGAAAAAAAUCAUUCGGAAAGAGAAAAUAUAUCGGAAAUCAACAUAUAUAUGUGAAAGAUGUUACCCAUAAUGUAAGUGUCAGCAGCUUUUCUCUGAAAAAUUUUGUGUAAAGAAGAAAUGUUUCCUGGAUCCCGAGUUGGAAAAAAAUGUGCAGGGUAUAGCAAUGAUGUUCAGUUGUGUUUAACCCCAAAGUCUCAAGUUUUCUUAAUUUACCGGCAAACCAAAAGAUAAGCACAUAUCCGGUAAAGCAAAUGAGUUCUUUUUUUGUCCUUGGAAGACGUAAUACUGCCUUAAAUAUUCUGGGAACUAUCGUUUACCGUGUUCUCAACUAACUCUCUGCCAGGAAAUGAGAUCAUGAGCAAACGUACGUGCUUGGCAAUCAUCAUAUUGAACACUUAAGCCAUGCAGGUCUAUGAUAAUCUGAAUCCUACAAUGAAGUUACUAGUGAAGAUUAACCAUAUUAUAAUUUUCUUUGAAUUCUUGGAAGUCUCUUUCUGGUACAGGCAAGUCCGGAAGCGCCAUCGUCCUCCAUUUCACCAUAACAUCGUCAUCGCCUCAUAGGUUCCUCAUCGUCAUUGACUCAUCAUCUUCAGUUCUGGUUAUCCCACUGGCUGAUGCAACAUAGUUUAAACAAUCAGGUGAUCGU